GAUGAACGCUGGCGGCGUGCCUAAUACAUGCAAGUCGAGCGAACGGACGAGAAGCUUGCUUCUCUGAUGUUAGCGGCGGACGGGUGAGUAACACGUGGAUAACCUACCUAUAAGACUGGGAUAACUUCGGGAAACCGGAGCUAAUACCGGAUGAUAUUUUGAACCGCAUGGUUCAAAAGUGAAAGACGGUCUUGCUGUCACUUAUAGAUGGAUCCGCGCUGCAUUAGCUAGUUGGUAAGGUAACGGCUUACCAAGGCAACGAUGCGUAGCCGACCUGAGAGGUUGAUCGGCCACACUGGAACUGAGACACGGUCCAGACUCCUACGGGAGGCAGCAGUAGGGAAUCUUCCGCAAUGGGCGAAAGCCUGACGGAGCAACGCCGCGUGAGUGAUGAAGGUCUUCGGAUCGUAAAACUCUGUUAUUAGGGAAGAACAUAUGUGUAAGUAACUGUGCACGUCUUGACGGUACCUAAUCAGAAAGCCACGGCUAACUACGUG
rnacentral:rRNA from 1 species